UACCUGGUUGAUCCUGCCAGUAGUCAUAUGCUUGUCUUAAAGAUUAAGCCAUGCAUGUCUAAGUAUAAGCAUUUAUACCGCGAGACUGCGAACGGCUCAUUAAAACAGUUAUGGUUUAUUUGAUGGUUCCUUUGCUACUUGGAUAACCGUAGUAAUUCUAGAGCUAAUACAUGCACGAAGGGGCGACUUACGAAGCCCUGUAUUUAUUAGAUUAAAGCCAACCGCCUCCGGGUGCUCGUGGUGAAUCAUAGUAACUAAUCGGAUCGCCGGCUCUAUGCCAGCGACGUGUCAUUCAAAUUUCUGCCCUAUCAGCUUUAGAUGGUAGGAUAUGGGCCUACCAUGGCGGUGACGGGUAACGGAGAAUUAGGGUUCGAUUCCGGAGAGGGAGCCUGAGAAACGGCUACCACUUCUAAGGAAGGCAGCAGGCGCGCAAAUUACCCAAUCCUGACUCAGGGAGGUAGUGACAAGAAAUAACAAUAAACCGGCUUAUGCCGGUUUAAUUGGAAUGAGUACAAUUUAAACAUCUUAACGAGGAACAAUUGGAGGGCAAGUCUGGUGCCAGCAGCCGCGGUAAUUCCAGCUCCAAUAGC
rnacentral:rRNA from 1 species